rnacentral:antisense_RNA from 1 species
CUUCGCCGAUCCCAGCCACAACGGUUCGCCCUGGCGUUGACCGUAGACGGCCAGCAACGCCUGGGCUUC